rnacentral:rRNA from 1 species
UAGAGUUUGAUCAUGGCUCAGGACGAACGCUGGCGGCGUGCCUAAUACAUGCAAGUCGAGCGAGCUUGCCUAGAUGAUUUUAGUGCUUGCACUAAAUGAAACUAGAUACAAGCGAGCGGCGGACGGGUGAGUAACACGUGGGUAACCUGCCCAAGAGACUGGGAUAACACCUGGAAACAGGUGCUAAUACCGGAUAACAACACUAGACGCAUGUCUAGAGUUUGAAAGAUGGUUCUGCUAUCACUCUUGGAUGGACCUGCGGUGCAUUAGCUAGUUGGUAAGGUAACGGCUUACCAAGGCAAUGAUGCAUAGCCGAGUUGAGAGACUGAUCGGCCACAUUGGGACUGAGACACGGCCCAAACUCCUACGGGAGGCAGCAGUAGGGAAUCUUCCACAAUGGACGAAAGUCUGAUGGAGCAACGCCGCGUGAGUGAAGAAGGGUUUCGGCUCGUAAAGCUCUGUUGGUAGUGAAGAAAGAUAGAGGUAGUAACUGGCCUUUAUUUGACGGUAAUUACUUAGAAAGUCACGGCUAACUACGUGCCAGCAGCCGCGGUAAUACGUAGGUGGCAAGCGUUGUCCGGAUUUAUUGGGCGUAAAGCGAGUGCAGGCGGUUCAAUAAGUCUGAUGUGAAAGCCUUCGGCUCAACCGGAGAAUUGCAUCAGAAACUGUUGAACUUGAGUGCAGAAGAGGAGAGUGGGACUCCAUGUGUAGCGGUGGAAUGCGUAGAUAUAUGGAAGAACACCAGUGGCGAAGGCGGCUCUCUGGUCUGCAACUGACGCUGAGGCUCGAAAGCAUGGGUAGCGAACAGGAUUAGAUACCCUGGUAGUCCACGCUGUAAACGAUGAUUACUAGGUGUGGGGGGACUGAACCCUUCCGUGCCGCAGUUAACACAAUAAGUAAUCCACCUGGGGAGUACGGCCGCAAGGCUGAAACUCAAAGGAAUUGACGGGGGCCCGCACAAGCAGUGGAGUAUGUGGUUUAAUUCGAAGCAACGCGAAGAACCUUACCAGGUCUUGACAUCUCCUGAAUAGCCUAGAGAUAGGUGAAGCCCUUCGGGGCAGGAAGACAGGUGGUGCAUGGUUGUCGUCAGCUCGUGUCGUGAGAUGUUGGGUUAAGUCCCGCAACGAGCGCAACCCUCAUAUACAGUUGCCAUCAUUCAGUUGGGAACUCUGUAUAGACUGCCGUGGUUAACACGGAGGAAGGUGGGGAUGACGUCAAAUCAUCACGGCCCUUACGGCCUGGGCUACACACGUGCUACAAUGGCUAUUACAAAGAGUUGCAAUAUGGUAACAUGGAGCGAAUCUCAAAAAGAUAGUCUCAGUUCGGACUGUGGGCUGCAACCCGCCCACACGAAGUCGGAGUUGCUAGUAAUCCCGAAUCAGCAUGUCGGGGUGAAUGCGUUCCCGGGUCUUGUACACACCGCCCGUCAAGCCAUGGGAGUCGGGAGUGCCCGAAGUCGGUGACCUAACCGUAAGGAAGGAGCCGCCUAAGGUAAUACCGAUGACUGGGGUUAAGUCGUAACAAGGUAACCGUAA